rnacentral:sRNA from 1 species
CACGCAUGAGGAGACGUGUAGGGGCCGGGUUCGGCCCUGGUGAUCUCUCACCCGAGCGGUUUCUCUUUCCGGGACAACAUGGCGCCGUCCACGCCGCUCUUGACAGUCCGAGGAUCAGAAGGACUGUACAUGGUGAAUGGACCACCACAUUUUACAGAAAGCACAGUGUUUCCAAGGUAUGAUUUAUUUUGUUAAGUAAUGUUAUAGGGAACAUACAGUACAAUCUAAAAUGGUUUUGUUGGUGGUGUAUUUUGAACAAGAAAGGAAAAGAACAGAUGAACUCAUUUUUAUUGUAUAAUAUUAACCGAAGAUGAAAAGAAUACAUAUUCUCUAUCAAGGAAAAUGAUCUUCAGAUCUGAAAAUAGUAACUUAAGCCUAUUUAUAAGGUAGGGGGAACAAUACUAAGAAAAAGUGUAGACACUAGUGUAAUUGAAUACAAGCCUUUAUUUUACAAGAGUUUUAUCUUAAGGAAUGAGAAAAACUUGCAAAUUUGAUAGCCAAAUCACGGCCAGUAAUCUUAGUGAAAUCAUAAUGAAAAAGAUAUUAAAAAGGGAGGACAUAUAUAUGCACAUAGUAUAUAGCUAGCUAGAUUAAUUUUUUUUCCCCAAAGAAACAAUGGACAAGUAAACCAAA